UACGUAGGGGGCAAGCGUUGUCCGGAAUUAUUGGGCGUAAAGAGCGCGUAGGCGGUCCGAUAAGUCGGCUGUGAAAGUCAAGGGCUCAACCCUUGAAAGCCGGCCGAUACUGUCGGACUAGAGUCCGGAAGAGGCAAGUGGAAUUCCCGGUGUAGCGGUGAAAUGCGUAGAUAUCGAGAGGAACACCUGCGGCGAAGGCGGGUUGCUGGGCCGACACUGACGCUGAUGCGCGAAAGCCAGGGGAGCGAACGGG
rnacentral:rRNA from 1 species